rnacentral:rRNA from 1 species
UACGGGGGGGGGCAAGCGUUGUUCGGAAUUACUGGGCGUAAAGGGCUCGUAGGUGGCCAACUAAGUCAGACGUGAAAUCCCUCAGCUUAACUGGGGAACUGCGUCUGAUACUGGAUGGCUUGAGUUUGGGAGAGGGAUGCGGAAUUCCAGGUGUAGCGGUGAAAUGCGUAGAUAUCGGGAGGAACACCAGUGGCGAAGGCGGCUUCCUGGCCUGUUCUUGACGCUGAGGCGCGAAAGCUAGGGGAGCAAACGGG